CAUCAUAGUACUAUUAGUUGUGGUGGCCAUUUUAAUCGUUACAGGUGCUGUUAUCUACGUAGUAUGGAAAAGGCGGAGCUUAAGAACCCCUCCACAAGGCCCUCCGGUGCAAUACAUCGCUGUGGAAAACGGUGACGCGAACCCCGACGUACAGGUACCGAACGGCAUGGGCAAACACGAGGUUGGGGCUUAACAAGUCAACGGUGUACUUGACGUGUAAUCACAUUGCUACUUUCUAGCUAUAUCUGUACCUG